AAUAAAUCUUGAAAAAAUAAAUUGAUAUAGUACAUUUUUAGCUUUUCCCAAUUAAAAAGGAAUACUUCUAUAGUGACAUUACGUGACUUUUUUUUCCAUUUCUAGCAUUCUUUGAUAUUCAAGUAGGUCUUUCUGGAAGUAAAACAAAACAUUGAAGGGUUCUUUUUCUCGUCAUUUAUAAUAGGCUACGUUAAUAAUUUUAGAGAGCCGUUAAUGACCUUCCCACAUAAAAAUAAAUGCUCUAGAAUUGUUCUAAUUCAGCAAUGUCAGCAGUGCCCAGGCACUAAAUGAAAGUACCGUAAACGUGUUAUUAGUGGAAAUGACUAUUUCCUUCAUCACACAGACAUCAUUGGGCAAUACCAGGAGCCAGUAUAAAGGGCUCUUCCAUUCAGUGUUGGACACCACAACCAAAUGACACAGACCCAGAGGAGCUGGAGGAUAGCCAUGACCUCAGGCGAGUGACUUCACUCCUCUGGGCCUUCCUUUCCUUGGCUAUAAAAAUGAUAGGAUCGGGGUAAAUAAACUUUAAGGUGUUUUCCAGUUCUAAAAUAUUAUAAUUCUAAGAGAAAAUAAGUUAGCUGGAUUGGGACAAAAAGAGCCAAUAUUUUUAUCACUUAGAGUAAAGCCAGUUGUCAGCCUCUUGUUUAUUAAAUGUUUGCAUGGCUCCUUCUCGCCCUCUGGGCUGGGUGUCAGGGGCACAGAUGAGUACAUUGUGGUCCUUGUCCUCAAGAAGCACACAGGCUGGGGUGCCGGGAGAGACAGGCGUGUAAACAGAUCAUUAAAAUGCAAUGUCGCAAGGGCUCUGGGAGAGUCACAGACAAGGAGCACAGGGCAGGAAGUGACUAACUCACCCUGGGAGACGUCUCACAGAAGAAGUACUGUUCAACACGAGCCUGGAAAGCAUCCUGAUGAAUCCAAUAACUUUGGCUGGUGUUGCUUCUAAGCUGCCUGGACCAGGUAUUUCCCUUAUAAAUGUUCUGCACAUUCUGCAGCAAGCCCUACUUUCCGACCCUGGGGAAGGACACAUAAAUUUAGUCACACAGACCCAGAAAUCCUCCAGGAGGUGCCUUCGACCUCCAGAAACACCACCUUCUCUGGCCCACCUCACCAUACCUCUCCUCCUCUUCCCAGGCAGGUUCGUGGACAUUCUGGAAAGACAAUUGCUGGUAAUCCCUAUGCAGCCAGGACUCACUUCCAGGACCCUCCUCCCAGGGAGCUCAUGCCCAGACACCAGCUCCCUCAGGAAACGAUCCUGUCCUUGGCUGGCCUCCUGGCUCCUCGCCAGCCUGCUCACUGAAUUCAAUUCAUAGCCCGUUUUUCUAAAAAGCAGACUCAGACUUGCCCCAGUACCUGUCACAGAUGCUACUUUCUCCCUCUGUUCAUAAGUAAACACUCAUCUUUCUGCAUUUCUUUCUCCUCUACCACAGAAAGAAGCAGCCACUUUCCACUGAGAGCCAGAAGCCAAAAUCCGAACUGUUGUCGUGAGGUCACAAGGGUGAUCUUAUAUACGGUGCCAUCUAUUCCAUCUCAGGCCAUUCCUGUGCAGCUGCUUCGAGCUAAAACUCCUCCACGCUCCACUUCUGAUUUUCCAGGGUUUCCCUGUCUGUCAGUUUCAGCCUGCCCCCUCCUGUUAUUUUUAGAUUUGAUUUUAGUCCUUAUAAAGGGCCAGGGGUGAGGAUAGGGAGAAAAUUUUUUUCAUUUUAAUUAAAAGCAGAUGACAAAGACAACUCAGUCAUGGAAAAUAACAGGAGUCACACUGUCUCUGGCUCCCAUUCGCGUAUUUCCUCCAUCAGCUGCAAGCGAGCAGAGAAGCAACAACGCUAAUUGAGUCUCCUCUGCCUUUUCCAGAAGACACACAUGAUCUAAGCAGAUCUCACCCGAGAUUCCGUUAGAGAGCUGCACGUGCUCUCCUUCCCUUUCCAUUCCCCCUCACAGAGUGAUUGCAUUUUAGAGCUGGCAGGCAGCUUCUGUGACUAUCUUCAUGUUACCAGGAGGAGCCCAGGGCCAAGCGAGGUCAAGGGAGGUGCCCGAAAAGGUCCAGCCUACUGAGGUCUCUCCAUUCCCACCUUCCAAGCGCUGAGCCUUGUCGAAUCCAUGUUUUUCAGCUGCCCAAAGAGUCCAAAUAGAGCAAGAGCUCCUUGAAGUGAGGGGCCCCAGCCUUGUGUGUUCUGUCCCUCAGUUCUCAGGACCUGCACAGGCAGGUGAAUGUGCACGGCGAAGCCGCUGCCUUUCACUCAUUCUUCCACACACUGUUGUUGCUGUUCUCCAACCUUCCGAUGAAUGUUUGUUUUUUCUCUCUCUGGACCAAUUUAGCCUUGUGCAUACUCUAUGAGCUUGGAUGUCUGCUUGCCUAUUAACUCAAAGACAGUUUAAUUCCAGAUUUUCUUCCAAGACUUCAUUUAGAUUCAGUCUUCAACGUCUCAUUAUUCAACAUGUUUACAGUUAGAUGUUCUAUUAUCAUAUAUAAUCAUUCGAAAGUACUAGUCUCUGUGUUCAGGUAACUCACAUGACACAGACUACAGCAUCUGUUGUGGACACAGCAUGGAAUUCAGUUUUGUAUUGUCAAACUCUUGCCUUUCUUCCUGGUUUCUCCAAAUGUAAGAAGGUCAUGGGGUGGGAGUGACCAGAUGAAAUCACUUACAGGUUAUCCACGAGACAAAGCCAAGGAAGCCCUGAUAAAGACAACCUCCACUCACGUCAUAUGACAGACAGAAAAAGCAUAUCUGGGUCUCUGCCCUGCUCAGUAGGAGAAUGAGGACUCUUGAUGGCAAAAGACGGAAACUCAAACCAGUUUGAGAAAAAAAGGGAGACAUUAUUAGAAGGCUUAUAUCCUCAUCUGGGAAGAGCAGAGAUGGCACUGGACAUCACAGACAGCUGGCACCAGGGACUCACAAGCCCCCAGCAUGCUCUUUCUUUUCUCUACCUCUCUCUCUGAGUCAGCGUUACUUCUCCCAAACUGGCUUUGGGAGUGAGCUCUUCCUCACGUGCAGCUUAACCCUCAGACAGAGAUUAGCUCCCUCUCCCCAGUUCCAGUUGCAAAACCCCCGAGGAAUGACUCUGUUGGUCUGACGAGGGCCAGGUGCCUACUCCUACCCCCAGAUAAUGGAGACUUUCCUCAAAGGAGGGGAAACAGAGGCCCCCUCAGUCACCCUAAUUCACAUCUACCACCACGUGUGGCAGGGGGCAAGUUUCUUUAACUUCUCUGAGCCUUGGUUUCUUCAUUGUAAAAUGAAACAUUUGGGGAGGGGCACAAAAAUAACACCUUCUUCAAAGAGCUGUUGAUCAUUUUACAUAGAUAACCAAUGUCAAAGGCCGCUGCAGUGUCUGCUAUAUGCGAAGCAUCAAUAAAUGUUCAUUUUUCUUCCAAGGUGAGUCUUAAAGUCAAGGAAGAAGUCAGCACGCUAAAAUGGAGAGGAAGAUUAUUUGGAGCACAGGGAACCGAAUGGGAAAUGCUGUACAAUUCAGAGUAAGAGGCACUAUAGGAGUUGUUAAAAGGAGGGCAAUUGAACCUUAAAUCAUUCCCACCAUAAAUCACCCAUAAGGUCCAUGUUCUAGAAAAAGGGGGGCUAGCAUUAGCUAUUGGGAACCUGGAAUGUCAAGUUGACCAAUUAGUCUGUAGCUUGUGAGACAUUCUUCACUAUCGAGGGGAAGAUUAUUUCAGUCAAGGAACAUUUUAGGGCCAACAUAAAAAGAAUUGUAAAAGAUUUGGAUUUUGAUGAACUCCAGGGAGCAAACGCUGCAUUUGCUCACAUUCCCUUUAUAACGUGUUGGAGCGAGGCCAAUGAACAUGCCCAGCUGUGCAGCAGGGUAACUUGAAUUUACUACUAGUUCUACAAAAAUAUUCCCUAUGUUGUCUUCCCUCAUACAUUUUAUCCUUAAGUUUUAUGAGAGGAAAAAUAGACUUUAUAUUAUACACGUCUUAGGUAAGAUUACUACAGCAAUGGAGCACUGAAAUCAAUAGAUCGUAAAAUUUCCAGUUUUCCCAAAGCUUAGAGAAUUUAGUACAUCUAAGAUUUGGCGUUUUUUGCAUUUGAAUCAAUUUGACUCAUACCAACAUCUGUUCCUGAUAAAAUAGUAUGAAAUGUAAUGUCUUCAUGGUGGCACAGAAUCAAACUCUACCCCCUCUCUUUGCUCCUCAUCCCUUUCUUCGAUAGUCCCCAUAUCAUCUCCUCUGGUCUGUAAAUGACCGUGAUGCCUUACAACCCAAUAGUGUGGGCUACUACUGGCAGUGACCAUACUCCUCAUCACCUGUGGUAUGUGGCAUCUGGUAUGGUGGAACCUCACUACCUGCCAGUUUCAUCCCAUACCCUUGAGCUUUGAUUCAGCACAGAUUCUGCCUCCAAGACCCACUUGCCCUGAGGAAGUCUUCUCUUACUAUCCCAGCACACAGGCAUGUUCUCCUCUAAGCUCUUACUUGUAGCAUUAGUACCCUGAUCUUAAUCACAGUGUGCCUAGUUUUGCAGCUUGAUUUCUACAUGCCUACAUCUGAGACUUUGCUGUGUACUUGUUCCCCGGCACCCAGCACAAUGCCAAUGCAUACUCGAGGCUCCAUAAGUACACGCAGGAAUGAAUGAAUGAAUGAAUGAAUGAGUGGAAUACUUUUCUACACAGCUUGGCAUUUUCAGUUUUGGGAAUCGGGAUCUAUAUCAGACUUAAGUCUAAAGACAGCAGAUUUUGGCUCAAUUCUGUCACUUACUCACAACAAAUUGUCUCAUGGAUCUGGAGAAGCUUAGAUCAACAUAUGAAGAUAGAAUGAAACUGGUUGUCCUUAAGAAUGGCAUGGAGCUGCAACCAAGCACAGAGGUGGGGAUACAGACAGGAGAUGGGCUAGCAUCCCAAAUCCUGGUCCAGGAACCAAGUGACCUGCAUUCUGUCCCUGGUCAAUCACUAAAAAGAAGAUUCUGUCAUCUAGGUCAAGUGAUUGAAUCUUCUUGAGCCCAAGAAAAUUCAUAGACAUCUACCAAUGUAUGUACAAAUUUCCCCUCUUCAUCAGUGGACAAAUUUCCGCAGGGCUCAAGAAGCAUCCAUUUGAAGGUCUAAGGCCAUCAAGACCACUGACAGGUGGCCUUCAGAAUUAAGGACCAGCUAUCCACUCUCCCUUGACACACCAGCCACCCAAGCAUCCCCUUACACUGGAAACCAGAUUAGCUAGAGGAAGGGGGAAGGGAGAGAAACUCCCAAAGACUGAGCACUUACCAGUAAAAGCCUGAGUUUACCAUUUUAAACCAGAAAAUAGAGGUAUCUGUCCACAGUUUUCAAACAUAAAUUCUUCCUCAACCCCUAAAUCAUCUGUGGAAUGGGCUUCAAAAAUAAGUUGAGAUCAGUUAGACUCUACAAGAGAGAGCCCCACAAUGCUGAUCAACGUUCGUUUGGUGAGAGAUCCACUGCUUUAACGAAGUCAUUCCACACCAUCCGUUAGAAGAUCCAGUACCAGUGUCUAAGGCUGAGUUUGGGAUGAAAAGAGGCAGAAGUUCUAAAACACUUUUAGCAUCUUUCUAUAAAUAUAUCUAGUUCAGCUGUUUUUUUCAAUUUCCGUGGAAAUGAAUGGCAACUCCAAAUCUCCGAAUUCAAAUGUUUGUUAUUCUAACUUAGGUUCACGGGUCUGGUUCUUCACUUGGUGUUGCUUUAGGGCCACACUUCCGAACCUCCCCAAAGAUAAGAGCCAUGAGGUGGCCUGCCCACAGAACCAAGCCCAGGCUCCUCCCAUGGAAAGUCAGGUUCAGGAGGUUGGGGUGGACCCAGGAGUCUUUGUUCUUUAAUGAGGGCCCCCAGGAAGGAGGGGAAACACUGCUUUAAGUCGGCCCUUCUCAGAGUGUGGUUGUUGGACCAGCAGCAUCAUCACCGGGGAACCGGUUCCCAAUGCAAAUUCUCAGGCCCACCUGCACCUACUGAAUCAGACGCCAGGUGUGGGGUGCAGUAAUCUGGAUUUUUACCAUGUCCUCCAGAUGAUUUUGAAGCACGUGAAAGUUUGAGAACCACUGCCUUCAGGAAAUGACAUACAGAGGAUGACAAACGUUUCUUAUCACAAAUAAAUACCAUUCAUUCACCCACACUCCACCAACACCUAAAAACUCAGCAAGAAUUUGUCUAGUAUCCAUGCAUCCGACAUGGUGUUAGGCUGCUGUGACAAUGGUCCCCAGACUUUGCUGCAUAUUUGAAUCAAUUAGACGUGGGGAGAUGUUAAAGCGCCCCUGCCCAGGUAGCACCCCAGAGGGACCAAAUCAGAAUGUCGGGGGCGGGAGGCAGGCAUCAGCACUGGUUUAAGGCACUGAGGUGAUUCCAGUGUGUAAAGAAGAUUAGGAACCACCAUCAAAAGCACUAACACAGCCCCUGAGAUCAGACUUGCCAGAAAAGAUCACAGCUACAAAUGCAGACAAGAGGCUGGGAUGGCGUAGGGCAGGCCCAGCAGGGACACUAUCCUUUAUGGGUUCAAACGACUAGAAGAUGCUUCCUAGAAGUCACCAGAGAGUUGGAAACACAUUCUCAUCCUCUUAAAUGUUCCUCAAGAGUCAGCAAGAAGUGGAUAGGUCAGAAGUGGAAGGAUGAAGGCUGCCCCCAUCUCCUCCGUUUUGACUCUUUCCAAACACACUUGAGCACUAUUAGCAUUUUAAUUAACAUCUGCCACCCUAAUGGGGCUUGGUAAAUAGCUACUGAGUGGGUCCCUGGGUGCAGAAUGAUGGUGAGGAAGAGGAGGAGGGGAAGGGAGGUAGAAAGGGAGGAGGAGGGAAGAGCUAACUUCCACGAGAGGUUCCCAUACGCCAAGCCCAGGGUCUCAGUCAUCUUCUUAUCGGACCUCACACAGCAGUUCCCUUUUGCAGGGGGUGAUCCAAGGCCAGGGCUGGUUAGGAACUUGCCCCUGCUCACAUCUGUGAGUGGCGGAAGCACUCCCCAGUCACGAUGCCAAGGCUGCCAAGGGAUCAAGGAUGCCCGGGGACAGGAAAGAGACUGAGAGGACAGGCAGAGCUUGCUUGAGGCUCGCUGAGUUCAGAUCUCUGGCAUGGUGAGACACUAAAAACCAGCCUCGCCAUCUGGUUUAAUCCAGGUGGAUAUUCUGGAUUGGGCGGGAAGCGAUGGGAGGAUUCCUACGAAGUCCAGAGCAGCUGGGAUGAGGCCGAGGGCAUGGCACAGGGGAUUGGAGCAGGAGCGAUCUACCAGUGCGCACAGGUGGAUUUCCAUUUUCAAACAACUGGUACGCACAUCAGUGUGUACCAGCAAAAUACAAGUCCUGGUUUAACCUGGUGCCGAUACAGAGCAUAAGGUUUUUUGCAGCUUAGGAGAUCUGAAUUUUUAAAAAGCCCUUUGGCAUCCUCCUUAACCCAUCCUGAAUGAGGUCCCAGAUGUCUCAGCUGGGCCACAGAACAAGCACAUUCGUGAGGACGCUCUUCCCCUCCUUCCGCCAGAAGGCCGUUCUGGGGGCUCUGUUUGGAAGAUGAGGCAAAUAACUUUUGCACAUGAAGAACCUGGCGGGUACAGCGGUAGGGAGAGAGAGGGAGAGAUUCCUAAAACAUUACUCAAAUGCAUCUCAAAUUUCACAUUUGAGCUGGGAAAAACACACCCAAAAUACAACUAACAGGAGCAGCUCAGAGCUUCAGUGUUGCAAGUUUUCAGUCAGCUACGGCAAGAGCGCGUUGCAGUUUGGGCAACUUCCCAGAACUGGUCAUCCAGCGGGGCGGGCGGGAGGCAGGAGGGAGGAGGGAAGGAGGAGGAAGGGAGGCAAGAGGGAAGGAGAAGGUAGGAGGCCACAGGAAGGUCAGACGAUUGCCACAGGGCUGGGAGUCUCAGGAGACCAUGGUGAAAACAAAUCAUGCGUUUGCCGCUUCAACGACGACGUCAACCAAAUUGUGGAAUAAAAACUCGUAAAGAAAAAUAUGGGCUGAUAUACAUUGUUUAUGAAAUACUAUGGCAAGCGUUUUACACAGAUUUAAGGAAAUCCAAGCACAAGAAAAGGGGUCAUCCGAUGCCACAGGUCUGUGUCAGGCGAAAGGCUGAGGGACCCUGGUUUGAAUUCUAAGCCAAGCAUCAAAUCAUUAUCAGUCAAGAGUUAGAGGGUAACAGCAAAAACUGAGCUAUUUGGAUGCAAAAUCUGCCUAAAAGCUAAAUGUUAGCACUGCAAAGAUCUCAGUUACUGGCACAGCAUUUCUAACAGUAACAGCCAGCACUUACGGAGGGCUCACCAUGUGCAGGCACCUGUCCUGACCACAUUUCAGACGCCAUCUCCUGUAACCCGCACAGCAACCCCACGUGCAAGGCGCCAAUCCUGUCCCCAUGGUACAGAGAAGGAACUGAGCAGGCCACUCAAGUGCUACGUGGCAGAGUCGAGUUUUGACUCCAGGCAACCUGAGCCCAGAGCCCAUCACUUCUUUAUAUUGAUGAGCCCUUUUCUCAUAGUCUUAACCACUACUGUUGUCUGGGCACUCACGUUGUUCCAGGUACUGCUCUAAGCAGUUUACGGGUAUUAACUCAUUUACUUCUCAUUGUGAUGAGAUACUAUUUCAUCUUUUAUGUUUUUUACAAAUGAGAAAACUGAGGCACAGAGAAGAGAGGUACAUUUCUCCAGAUCUCGUAUAUAGUAAGUGGUAGAGCUGGGCUUCAAAACGCAGUUGUCUGGUUCCAGGGCUCUGAACAGCCAGCAACUGCCUAAGAAACACCCACAUCAGGGUGGAGGGAAAGCACACAUUGAUGUCGGCACCCUCUGAAAUCUAAUCAGUUUCACCAGUGGGGAAGAUUUCCUUCUGGCCGUCCACAUUAGGGACAUGGGAAUCACCAGAAUAGACGAUAAGCACACUCCUUGGUGUUACUGCUGGGGCCCCGGUUUAUCAGAUGUGGUUUUACCCUGGGUACCACACUUUCAGCACAGACAGGCUGGGUCUCCACCCAGGUGAGGGCAUCCCUGAACUCCUUUGUUUUCUCAAAAAGACAGCCUCUCACAUUCCCAAGAAUGUGAAUCUGCCCCAACUAGCACCUCAGGUAACAGGCCCUCCAGCCCUCAGAGGACCCAAGCUCAGACUGAGUGCCAGCCCGCUCUCUCCAACUCAGACCUCUGCUGGAGGAAGAGACACUCAUGGAAGGAUACACCUGCUCAAGGUCCGAUCCUUGCAUUUAGACGGACCGCCAUAAGGCUAAACACCUGGGCUGUGUCGUCCUCGUCCCUUGCAGAAUUUCUUCACUUGAGUUGCAUUUAAAUAUUUUGCUGUCAACAUUUAUCAAAAAUCCUUUGUGAAGUAGUCAAAUGAAACCCUUACAGCAUCUGCCAUGGGAAACUUUCGAGGCUGCUUUCUACCGUCUCACACAGUCGCCAUAGGAAAGACCCCAUAAGAAACUUUCCUUUCUUUGCUUUUAAGCUGAGAAAAGCUUUAUUUGUCUUGAGGAAAUAGGAGGUUUUAUCAUUUCUGAGCAUGAAAACUAUGUUCUAACUGUCCAUCUCUUUUCCUCUCUAACUCAAUCUCAUUUUUUAAAGCUUCUAGGAAGCUCAGAGUCAAACUUGAAAUUGAAGAUAUGGGCCUUUAUAACCUGUAUCACGGGCCUCAAAACUGUCUCACCGUCCUCGUAGGAAAAAAUUUAAGGACAACCUCCUAAUAGAUGUUUAUUUGUUUGUUUGUGUAUUCACAAAUUAUAUGCAUGUACCUGAUUAUAUAUUCUAACCUGAUAUUUUAAAACAUGAUAUACGCAAAGGCCAAAGUUCAUUGUUAAUAACUGAGGAAGGAUAUAAAUCCAUAUUUCAAGGGUCUCCUAAUAAUUUCAAAAUUGUUUUAGCUUCUUUUAUCCCUGACUAGAUUGGACUGUCAUUAUAUUUACUUUUUUUUUGUAAUUGAAGUAUAGUUGACAUACAAGGCCAUGUUCAUUUCAAGCGUACAACAUAGCGAUUUGACAUUUGUAUACAUUACGAAAUGAUCACCACAAUAAGUCUAGUAACCAUCUGUCAACACACACAGUUAUUAGAGUAUUAUUGACUGUAUGCCCUGUGCUAUACCUUACAUCCCUGGCAUGAGAUCUACUUUUAAUGAGCCUGACAAAGAACUUGCCCAAGCCGUGAAAAGUACCAGCCUUGCCAUUUUCUUCUUCCCUUGAAGAUAAUACCAGUCCAAUGAGCAAAAUCAGCAGUUUCUUUGCAGGAAUAUUUUUAAGGUACUAUCCUUCAUUUGUGAAGAUAUACUUAAACACAGAUAAUAUAAACCAGAAAUCCACGUAACUGGACACACAUGUGCUGCAAGAUGCCACAUCUUGCCGAGAGCAACCAAGCAAAGGAGGAGGCUCUGUGGCCUCUCUGGGUGUGGGACAUCUGCCCAGAGCUCCACGGGACACCUUCCAGAAGAAUCACAGGCCAGCCGAGGGAAGCGCAUGAAAAGCACGUGUUAAAUAUUAAUAAAUCUUAGUGCCUCUCAUUUUAGGAUGAAAAAUGUCUCUAGCUGAACGUUCUAAUAUAUUUUCUUCCCAUACGACAGUUCAUCUCAUGUACACAAACCCAUUUGGAAACGCUCUGUCUGUACCUCUAUCUGUUUUUACCUUUUCCCAGUCCUGACUUCCCAGUCUUUUGCGCCGUCACUGUUUAUAUUUCUACUAACCACUAUUUUUGGCCUGAGUUCUCAUUAAAUUCUUUAUGGAAUGAGAGUGUACAUUCCUACACGUUGUGAACAGAACAAAUACAAGAAACUGAACAAGAACUCUUUUUUCUCAAUGUCUGUAUUAUUAUUUUAGCUAAUUGUAUAUUUGGGAAUCUGUGAAUUUUGGGUUAUUCCGAACACCUACGUCUCCAAGCAUUUCAAGGUCAUGUUCGGAGCAAUAAAUGUGAGCUAGCAUUGAUCAUCAACUGGAACGGAAACAUUUAGACUUAAACAAGAUGUUAAAUAUCUACCAAAUCAGAAUUAGGUUUGGUGACAGAAACCCUCAGAAAAUAGUGUCUUAAAGACACUAGGUUUUAUUCUCUCAUGUGCAAGAAGCCCAGAGGAAGGUUCUCUGGGGUUAGUCUGGCAGCUCCAUGAUCUUGUCUGGGACCCAGCCACCUUCAGUCUCUCCCAGGAUGUGGUCUUCAUCCCUGCGAUCUAAGACGGCAGCUGGAGCUCCAACCACCAUGUCCACUCUCCAGGCUGACAGCAAGAGGGAGGAGGGGGAAGACGAUGCCCCUUAAGGACACACCACAGGAGGCGCCACCCCAAUCCCUUUAUAUGGCCUUGGCCAGAAUAGAGUGAGACAGUUGUCUGUUUGGGAGGGGGAAACCAGGGAGAAUGGAUGUUGGGAAAACAACCAGCAGUCUCUGCCACAACCGCUGUAAAACUCGAGAUUUUCAUUAGCAAAGUACAGGCCCCAUACUAGAAUCGCCUCCAGCAGAAUUCUGAUUCUAGACCACCAACUUAUGACUGAUCCUGAUCAUAGUUUUUCCAUUCAAAGACCCAUUAUCUAUUACCACCCAGGGGUAUUUAACAUAAGAAUCAUCCCAGGAAUGCUUUGCACAUUGAAGAAGCCCUGAAAAAUGACUCUGAAUGCACAGUUAAUAUGGACGUACCAAAAGACAAACUUUUUCUGAUAGAAACCAUAGUAAGUAUAUUCCUAAGACAUUGCUGUACAUCAGGUUUUGCAAAUCUGAUCCUCCUUCAAAUGCAUUAGGAAAGUUAGCUAUUUAAUGAAACCCACAGUGAAUCUGGGGGAAGACUUCCAUCUUAUCAUAUGAAAAAUCACACUGUAACACAUCUGUCCCAGAAUCUGAAAUGUUCACUUAUCAGAUUUUCCUAAAUUAGUGCAAUUUCUCUGGUGACUUUAACAGACUAAAAGAAAGCCUCUGAAGCAAACCUAAAAUGUGACUGUCAUAAUGGGUCAUUAUUUCCCUUUUUAAAUCUCAUCUCGGCACCACUGUAUGUUCUCUAGUAGAGAUCCCUUUGGUGAGAUGGUCACUGGGCUUUUGCUACUUUCCCAUCAAACUGCCUUCAACAGCUAGAGACGUGGGCAGAUGCUGAGUGACAGUCUUCUGCUGCUGAACACGCAUCAGGAGAGAAUCCAUUGUGCAACAACACACGUUUCUCAAUUUUCAGAUGCCAAAUGUUCAAAAUAUAAGAAUACCUCAAAUGGUCACUCCCCAGAAUAAGACAGGCAGUGGUCCAUUCGUGAGCUCACACUCCAUCAGUGACAUCACACUCUAACCAGGAGGCUGUGCAGUUUAUAACUAAUCAACCAGAGAGCCGAAAAUAGAUAGGUUCUCCUUUCCUGGGCCUCCCCUCCCUCACCAAACCUGGAGGAGUUGCUCGCUUGAGUUUACAGGAAAAGUCUAGGAAUGUGGAUAGUUCCAUUGAGCUGAAGAGUAAAACAUGUUGGGGACAGAGGUUGAAUUUCACUGUGCACUUUAUAAAUAAGAACAUAGCAAGAGGUGUGGUUUCCAGAAAGCUGACACCUUAUGAGCACGUUCACCCACCCACCGCCAUUACCUGCAAUCCAUAAAGAUGGAAGGAAAUCUCUUCCUCUGUUUUGUAUUUUUUUUCCUCUCUGAAUUUUAAGGGAAAGAAGAAAAUUAUAAAAUCAGGAGCCUGCACAUCCCCUGAGACAUUUAAAUUUCAGCUGGACCAAGCACUACCCAUGUAUCACAGGCAACAAUUUCACCCUGGCAGGGAAGUGGACUAAGUGACUUAAUGGGUAUUUUCCAUCUCUAAUUUCCAUGAUUAAAAGAAAGAGGUUGAGAGGGGGACAUGUGGAGCCUAUUGUGAGUUUGCCAAUGAAUCCUAAUUUAGAUCAAAGGGAGUCUAUGUGACACUGAACCAUAAACACCCUAGUGUGCGUUACUUCAAGGAAGUCGUUAGUGUGUCCCCGAUGGCUAUUAUGUGAUAUAGUUGCGCUCUAUAGCCUGCACCCUUUAAUUACUAAUAUGGAAGAAAAUCCCAUAUAAGAGGGAGGAAUGUAAAUGAGACCUCUGCUCUUUUGAACAUUUUAUGCAUUUGCCAAAUUAAAAUUUGCUGUGGACUUUGGUUUUCCCUGACGGCUGUUGGUAGUGAUCAUUUGGCUCAUGGGAUUAAAUCCGACUUUCCAAAAACUACUUCCGAUCGGUAUGCAGAUUUCAGACCUUUAUGUAUGCUUUGCACUGAAACAUGGAUCAUCAGAACCAGAUUGGGAACAAUUUCUUUGAAGUUUUCAAAGGUAGGGAAGAAAUCCUCUUUCGUUCUCAUCUUUCCUUGUGCUGAGCGUUAUUCAGGGCAGGUUGAAGGCUGCAACGAGAGGGGGGCCUGUGCGGUCCAGGGGCCCAAUGUCACGCCACGCCCAUGCCCUACGCCCCCGUGCGUAGGUAGCCUCUGUGCAGAGAGGACUGGGCCUUAGGGAUGUGGGUCUGCAUCUGUAAGUGUGACCACGCAUCUCUGACAUGGAGCUUGCUCACACCAAGUUUUAAAGCACAAUUUCAAGAUGAGGACAACUCCAAAUGUCAACUUGAACAGUACGGUUUUAAUGAUAAUUCCUUCUCUAGGAUUCUUCUGCCCUCAGUCUACGUGUAGAAAAAGAGAAUUGAUAACAACUUUGCAAUUAAAUUAAGAUUAGUGCCCUGUACAAAAGCAAAGAUGCUUAUUAGACAGAAUGACUACGGAAGAUAUUAACCAUUCAGGGAGAUUUGCCAUGCCCAAUUCUGCAUCUUGUUCAAUAAAGCAAACUCCUUCUUUGCCAUCUGUCUCGUACUCCGAAGAGAUAAUAAUAAUAAAAUCAUUGCUUAAUGAGUAAACUAAGUAGAGGAUAAUUCCCUGGUAGAUCAUAUUGGUGUUCUUCUGCAAAGGAUGCCAUAUUCUCAAUGAGGCAGAGAACACAAGGGAGAGUGCGUGAUCAUGCACCAACGGGGAUGCCUAAAAUCAAAAACCAAUGCAGCAUAUGUCAGUAUUUAAAGCCCCAUCAAAGAAACAUCCAACUUUUCAGCUGUAACCCAAAUAUAAAUUUUCCUUACCCUGUCAAUUAGCAGAUUACAAAACUUCUGCAGCAGGAAGACCAUUCUGCCAGCAAAGCCAUAGUGUUUGGAAUGGGUCCAGGUCAGACAGAUGGCGUGGAAAAGGGGUGCAAUGAGACGUUCCCUACCGGCAAAGUCAACUGCUUCUCCACACAGCAAACGUAACCUUCGAAGGGCUGAGCCACGAGGUGAGUGCAUCUCUCCCACAGCUGGAGAAGCACACAGACGCCUAGAAUCACUAAAGUCGUUGGUGACAAGAGCAACAAUGGGCUGCCUAAGGGAAGCAUUUAGAGAAGAGAAGUAUACAAAAUAGUAAAUAAUUGGAAACCUUGUUCUUUGGCGUCUAAAAAGGGCCCCGUUUCAUCCCCAAGCCAAUGGGCAUAAAAAGCAAAAUCAUAUCUUCUCCAAGUAAGAACCUGAUUGUUAAACUAGGAUAAUAGAGAAUUCUUGCUCUCUUUCCAAUGCUGACCAUACCAUAAACAGUCAAAUGACGUAACCACGAGGGGAAGACAGGGGACAUUUGCUAUUCUAUUAUUAAAUGCCACCUGUACAUGUCACAGUCUAUUUGCAAAACUGGCUCCCUCACAAACAGCACCUACUCAGCUGCACAGAGAAGCUUGAUUCAGAACUUGAUGGUUAAGGAAGUUAUUAUGCAUAGUGGUAACCAUAAUAGCCCACUGAAUUUUAAAAGUGAGUUUUAAAAUAUAAAUACGAUUGAUGACUUUUUAAAUUUUUUUAAGAAUUUAAAUUCCCUUUCAUUAAGAUCAAAGAAGCAAAUCGACUUCCUUAACUUAAAUAUUUUUAGGUCAGUAAAAGUGUCUUUGUCGCUCUCUUUAAACUAAUAGUGACCAAGCCACUCGUAGGCACCAACAACGCACUGGGCGUGUUACAGGUGUCAACUUAGUGAAUCCUCUAAACAACCCUGCAAAUGGAAUUAUUCUCAUCAUUUUAGAGGCAAGAAAUUAAAGAUCUGAGAAAGGAACCUGGCCACACUC